rnacentral:rRNA from 1 species
GACGAACGCUGGCGGCGUGGAUUAGGCAUGCAAGUCGAACGGUAUCAUCCUUUCGGGGGUGAGAGAGUGGCGAACUGGUGAGUAACACGUAGGUUAUCUACCCUCAAGACGGGGACAACCCAGGGAAACUUGGGCUAAUACCGGAUGUGAGCAACUUUUAGUUGUUUGAAAGGUGGCGUAAGCUGUCGCUUGGGGAUGAGCCUGCGUCCUAUUAGUUAGUUGGUGAGGUAACGGCUCACCUAGGCAAUGAUAGGUAGGCGGCCUUAACGGGUGGUCGCCCACACUGGGAUUGAGAUACGGGCCCAGACUCCUACGGGAGGCAGCAGUCGAGAAUAGUCUACAAUGGUCGGAAGACUGAUAGUGCGACGCCGCGUGAACGAUGAAUCCCUUCGGGGUGUAAAGCUCUUUUGUCCGGAAAGAAAAGCACUGGGUUAAUACCCCGGUGUCCUGACGGUACCGGAAGAAUAAGCACCGGCUAACUUCGUGCCAGCAGCCGCGGUAAGAUCACGUGUA